rnacentral:snRNA from 1 species
UACCUUGCAGUGGCAGUAUCGUAGCCCAUGAGGCCCAGCCGAGGCAUGAUUAUUGCUAGUUGAAAACUUAUCCCUAGGAU